AAGCGGUGGAGCAUGUGGCUUAAUUCGAGGCUACGCGAAGAACCUUAUCCCGGGCUUGACAUGCUGCGGAACCCGGCGGAAACGUCGGGGUGCCUUCGGGAGCCGCAGCACAGGUGCUGCAUGGCUGUCGUCAGCUCGUGCCGUGAGGUGUUGGGUUAAGUCCCGUAACGAGCGAAACCCCUGUCCCUAGUUGCCAGCGCGUCACGGCGGGCACUCUAGGGAGACCGCCGGCGUCAAGCCGGAGGAAGGCGGGGACG
rnacentral:rRNA from 1 species